rnacentral:rRNA from 1 species
UACGAAGGGGGCGAGCGUUGUUCGGAAUUACUGGGCGUAAAGGGCGCGUAGGCGGCGACCCAAGUCAGAUGUGAAAGUCCUGGGCUUAACCUGGGGACUGCAUUUGAUACUGGGUUGCUUGAAUUCGGGAGAGGAUAGCGGAAUUCCCAGUGUAGAGGUGAAAUUCGUAGAUAUUGGGAAGAACACCAGUGGCGAAGGCGGCUAUCUGGACCGACAUUGACGCUGAGGCGCGAAAGCGUGGGGAGCAAACAGG